rnacentral:rRNA from 1 species
GUAAAUUUUAUGGUUAAGUUACUAAGGGCGCACGUGUGGAUGCCUUGGCAGAAGCAGGCGAUGAAGGACGUGGCAAGCUGCGAUAAGCCCCGGAGAGCCGCAAGCAGGCAUUGACCCGGGGAUUUCCGAAUGGGGAA